ACCUGGCUGGCUCAGUCUGCAGAGUGUGUGACUUGUGAUCUCAGGGUUGUGAGUUCGAGCCCCAUGUUGGGCA
rnacentral:tRNA from 1 species